UACGGAGGGUGCGAGCGUUGUUCGGAAUUAUUGGGCGUAAAGAGCAUGUAGGCGGUCUGUUAAGUCUGGUGUGAAAGCCCGGGGCUCAACCCCGGAAGUGCAUUGGAUACUGGCAGACUUGAGUAUGGGAGAGGAAAGCGGAAUUCCGAGUGUAGGAGUGAAAUCCGUAGAUAUUCGGAGGAACACCAGUGGCGAAGGCGGCUUUCUGGACCAAUACUGACGCUGAGAUGCGAAAGCGUGGGGAGCGAACAGGAUUAGAUACCCCGGUAGUCC
rnacentral:rRNA from 1 species